rnacentral:rRNA from 1 species
GACGAACGCUGGCGGCGUGCCUAAUACAUGCAAGUCGAGCGAAGUUUUUCUGGUGCUUGCACUAGAACGACUUCGCGGCGAACGGGUGAGUAACACGUAAAGAACCUGCCUCAUAGACUGGGACAACUAUUGGAAACGAUAGCUAAUACCGGAUAACAGUAUUUCUCGCAUGAGAGAUAUUUAAAAGUUGGUUAUUCUAACACUAUGAGAUGGCUUUGCGGUGCAUUAGCUAGUUGGUGGGGUAAAGGCCCACCAAGGCGACGAUGCAUAGCCGACCUGAGAGGGUGAUCGGCCACACUGGAACUGAGACACGGCCCAGACUCCUACGGGAGGCAGCAGUAGGGAAUCUUCCGCAAUGGGCGAAAGCCUGACGGAGCAACGCCGCGUGAGUGAAGAAGGAUUUCGGUUCGUAAAGCUCUGUUGUUAGGGAAGAAUGGAUAUGUAGUAACUAUACAUGUAAGAGACGGUACCUAACCAGAAAGCCACGGCUAACUACGUG